rnacentral:lncRNA from 1 species
CAAAGAAACAAAAAAUAAGAUGAGAAGACCGGCACAUUUUGGAUCAAAGCAAGGUCCAGAAAUCUCUGUCAGUCUGUACGGAUGUGUUUCCUGGAGUCAAUGCUACAUAGAGUGUUGAUCUGUCACAGGCUGGAGUUCAGUGGUGUGGUCAUGGCUCACUGCAGCCUCAAAUCUCCUGGACUCAACAUCCUGAAGCUACUCGGGAGUGUGCCUUCCUCUAGUCUUCUUGGCAUACCAACACCAUUAAGUGCUAACAUUUGGAGGAAAACAUCAAGAAGUUUUUCUAUGCUGAGUACCAGGGGAAUGCAGGACAAGGAGAAGGACAUACUCUCUUCCUUCAGAGAGCUGCCAGAGGAGAAAUGACAGUGUCUAUUAGGAACUGGCCUUAGAAUCUCCCAGGUUGAUGGGUGAGUCAUCACGCAUAUACAUGCACAGAUAUUCACUCUGUGCUUGUGACAUUAAGUCUUCUCUUCUCUUUU